rnacentral:ncRNA from 2 species
UGACCAUCCCGAGCGGCCGAGAGAUCUGGCUCACUGACGCCGCAGCAACCCUGGCCACCGCGUCCCCGCGGCGACAGUAGGGUGCUACUGCCAGACCGAUGGAGG